rnacentral:rRNA from 1 species
GCAAGUCGAACGAAAAGGUAACUUCGGUUACUAGAUUCGUGGCGGACGGGUGAGUAAUACAUAGAUAUCUACCGAGCACUGGGGGAUAACAGUUAGAAAUGACUGAUAAUACCGCAUACGCCAUAUUGGGAAACUUUAGGGGGUGUUCGAUGAGUCUAUGCUGGAUUAGCUAGUUGGUAGGGUAAUGGCCUACCAAGGCAACGAUCUAUAGCUGGUUUGAGAGGAUGAUC